GAUGUCCACCAAGGAUAGCUGUUUCUGGCCUUCACUGGUCUCUUUCACCCUUUCAGGCCCAGAGGACAAUGGCAGUCAGAACUGGCUUGGUAUGGUU
rnacentral:miRNA from 10 species